GUAACAACUUUAAACAUCACUUGUUUCUAGUUUAACGAUGACGUUUUUAUGUUCUUCUAAUCAUUAAUUAAGUGACCUUUAACUUGUGAUGAAGUUUUUAUAUCUACAAAUCACUUGUUAAGUUCAUAUAUAGUAGAAAGCAAUAAGAUUUAAUCUCCAAAAACCAAAUAAUAUAGAUUAUAAAAGUACUUUAUUUAUAAAUGAGGAAAAAAAAUUCACCAAACAAGCACAAAAAAAUUAUUU
rnacentral:lncRNA from 1 species